rnacentral:rRNA from 1 species
GUGCCAGCAGCCGCGGUAAUACGUAGGGUGCGAGCGUUAAUCGGAAUUACUGGGCGUAAAGCGUGCGCAGGCGGCUUUUUAAGCCAGAUGUGAAAUCCCCGGGCUUAACCUGGGAACUGCAUUUGGAACUGGAAGGCUAGAGUGUAGCAGAGGGGGGUAGAAUUCCACGUGUAGCAGUGAAAUGCGUAGAGAUGUGGAGGAAUACCGAUGGCGAAGGCAGCCCCCUGGGCUAACACUGACGCUCAUGCACGAAAGCGUGGGGAGCAAACAGGAUUAGAUACCCCCGUAGUCC